GUGUUCACAUGGGCAGCACGUGUCCUACAAUUGAAACAAUACAGAGAGGAUUCGCAUGGCCCCUGUGCAAGGAAAAAAACGGUUCCCUCUUCUUU
rnacentral:snRNA from 1 species